CGGAACGAGAAUAUACACAGAGA
rnacentral:rasiRNA from 1 species